rnacentral:rRNA from 1 species
UACGGGGGGGGCAAGCGUUGUUCGGAAUUACUGGGCGUAAAGGGCUCGUAGGCGGCCAACUAAGUCGGAUGUGAAAUCCCCAGGCUCAACCUGGGAACUGCAUCCGAUACUGGAUGGCUUGAAUCCGGGAGAGGGAUGCAGAAUUCCAGGUGUAGCGGUGAAAUGCGUAGAUAUCUGGAGGAAUGCCGGUGGCGAAGGCGGCAUCCUGGACCGGCAUUGACGCUGAGGAGCGAAAGCUAGGGGAGCAAACGGG